rnacentral:rRNA from 1 species
GACGAACGCUGGCGGCGUGCUUAACACAUGCAAGUCGAACGGAAAGGCCCUGCUUUUGUGGGGUGCUCGAGUGGCGAACGGGUGCGUAACACGUGAGUAACCUUCCCUUGACUUUGGGAUAACUUCAGGAAACUGGGGCUAAUACCGGAUAGGAGCUCCUGCUUCAUGGUGGGGGUUGGAAAGUUUCGGCGGUUGGGGAUGGACUCGCGGGUUAUCAGCUUGUUGGUGGGGUAGGUGCUUACCAAGGAUUUUACGGGUAGCCGGCUUGAGAGGGUGACAGACCACAUUGGGACUGAGGUACGGCACAGACUCCUACGGGAGGCAGCAGUGGGGAAUAUUACAGAAUGGGCGGAAGCCUGAUGCAACAAAGCCGCGUGCGGGAUAACGGCCUUAGGGUUGUAAACCGCUUUCGCCUAUGAAGAAGCGGAAGUGACGGUAAUGGGUAAAGAAGCACCGACUAAAUACGUG